rnacentral:ncRNA from 9 species
AGUGGGGAACCCUUCCAUGAGG